rnacentral:rRNA from 1 species
UACGGAGGGAGCUAGCGUUGUUCGGAAUUAUUGGGCGUAAAGAGCGCGUAGGCGGUCCGAUAAGUCGGCUGUGAAAGUCCAGGGCUCAACCCUGGAAAGCCGGCCGAUACUGUCGGACUAGAGUCCGGAAGAGGCAAGUGGAAUUUCCAGUGGAGCGGUGAAAUGCGUAGAGAUUGGAAAGAACACCGAUGGCGAAGGCACUUUACUGGGCUAUUACUAACACUGAGAGACGAAAGCUAGGGUAGCAAAUGGG